rnacentral:rRNA from 1 species
CCUACGGGUGGCUGCAGUGGGGAAUAUUGGACAAUGGGGGCAACCCUGAUCCAGCCAUGCCGCGUGUGUGAAGAAGGCCCUCGGGUUGUAAAGCACUUUCAGUGAGGAAGAACGCCUGGUGGUUAAUACCCAUCAGGAAAGACAUCACUCACAGAAGAAGCACCGGCUAACUCCGUGCCAGCAGCCGCGGUAAUACGGAGGGUGCGAGCGUUAAUCGGAAUUACUGGGCGUAAAGCGCGCGUAGGUGGCUUGAUAAGCCGGUUGUGAAAGCCCCGGGCUCAACCUGGGAACGGCAUCCGGAACUGUCAAGCUAGAGUGCAGGAGAGGAAGGUAGAAUUCCCGGUGUAGCGGUGAAAUGCGUAGAGAUCGGGAGGAAUACCAGUGGCGAAGGCGGCCUUCUGGACUGACACUGACACUGAGGUGCGAAAGCGUGGGUAGCAAACAGGAUUAGAUACCCUAGAGUC